GGAAUAUAGGUCAAUGGGCGAGAGCCUGAACCAGCCAAGUAGCGUGCAGGAAGACGGCCCUAUGGGUUGUAAACUGCUUUUAUACGGGGAUAAAGUGAGGGACGUGUCCCUUAUUGUAGGUACCGUAUGAAUAAGGACCGGCUAAUUCCGUGCCAGCAGCCGCGGUAAUACGGAAGGUCCGGGCGUUAUCCGGAUUUAUUGGGUUUAAAGGGAGCGCAGGCCGAUGGUUAAGCGUGACGUGAAAUGUAGGUGCUCAACAUCUGCACUGCGUCGCGAACUGGCAAUCUUGAGUGAGUUCGAUGUAGGCGGAAUUCGUGGUGUAGCGGUGGAAUGCUUAGAUAUCACGAAGAACCCCGAUUGCGAAGGCAGCUGACGAGUCCUUUACUGACGCUAAAGCUCGAAGGUGCGGGUAUCGAACA
rnacentral:rRNA from 1 species